UGGAGAUAUUAAUAAGCUUGAAUGUAGUAUCGGAAGUUUAUAAUGCAUGGCUAGGGAACUGAGGCUAAGGGAGUUAUGUGCUGUGCAUGAUGAGAACUCAAUGCUCAUUAAUGCUGUUAAUGUUUAUAAAUAAAUUAAUUAAACCAAUAGCAUUGUUUUUUAGGUUUCACUGUACAUUUUCAUACCAAUAGAAUUACACAUCAUUCUAAUUAUAGCAAUAAUAAAUUUGUACUAAUCAUACCUACAAAUUUUGUUAUGCUAUGCUUUGUGAUGUAUUAACUUCAUUGUAAGUUAUUAUUUAAAGACAAUUUUACUAAAUAUUUAAAACAAUACUUGAAUUAUUUUCUAUAUACAUUUUCAUUAUGUGCUUUAACUGUAGCUGACCAGUUGAUGGAAGAUACUGCAGAGUUUGGCAGGGAAAUAACCCAAGACAGCAAAGCGGCUCUUUUGGCGCAUUUACCAAGAGGACUAACAUGGCCACAAAUUCAUGAGAUCAUGCAGGAGCCGUACAGUAUAACAGCAGUACAAGUUCUAUAAAAGAUCCGCGACCUACUGAAGCCCAGCUAAUUAACAAAAAAGUUUUUAAAAACUGAAAUUUUAUCCCACCUGGGUACUUAUAAUUUACUAACUGUCACUUGGAAAGUAAUACAUGUACAUGCAUUCAUGUUCUGAAUUUCUUUGAACAAUAAAAUUAUAUAAAAGUAUUUUAAUGAAAUUGAGCACCUAAAUUGCAUUAAAGUGAAAGUAGCUGAGAAAAAUAGUAUCCUUAAUUGUUCUCAUGGGCAGCUACAUAUAUUGUGACAAACAUGAAGUAGCUAAAAUAACUUAAAUUUUUCAUUUUGUUUCUUGUAUAUCGUUUGUACAGGGUUCGUGAAUUGUUACUGUAUAUUACUUGACUUGCUUGUAUUUUGUUACUUUGAAUACAUGUUGUUAAGGUUGCAUUAUACUUUUUAACUUUUAAAGUAGCGCCUGUUCUGUUAUGUAAGGGCCUGAUUUAUGAUAAUGGACCUAGAGGCUUUGUAAGCAUGUAUUAAACAACACUUGUUUGAUCUGAAUAAUUUGUUAAAUAAAUGUAACACAAUUUGUAAUCUGAUGUUAUAUUUUGAUGAAUUGUGAACAAAAUAAUACAUCGAAGAAACUAA